AAACAGGAAAAGGAAGGAGUAUUAAGAUGCUCACCGCCUAUCAAGUAAUAAAGGCAGAAUAAAAAGCGAAUAAGCAGAUUAAAUAGGCGUGGCUUUCGGAAUGUUCUUGAUUAUAAAAAUAGUUUGCUAUCUUCCUGAAAAACCAGAAGAGCAAGAUAAGAACAUUGCUUGGAGGAAGAAUUGUAAUUUAAAGCCACCUGUGAUGACUCCAAUAAAAUAUUACUGAAUCUA